GUGGUGCUGACAAACAUUGCAUCAAGCACAUGGGAAGGGAUGGGUCAAGCAAGGCAGGGGUGCUUGCUUUCUGAAGAUAGAGCCGUCUCUCUCUCUCUUCCCUAUUUUCUGUCUCAUCAGUCAUCUCUCUCAAUUAUCUCCCAGACUCCCUCUCUCUACAACCCAUAACCUAACCUUUCAUCUCUCUCUUAUUUUUUGUCUCGUCUCUCUCUACAACUCAUAACCCACCUAAUCCUUUAUCUCUCUCAUUUUUUCUGUCUCAUCUCUCUCUCUCUCUACAACCCAGAACCAAGCCGAACAUCCCUAUUCACUCUCUCUCAUUUCAUUUCGCCUCUCAUCUUCUUUCACUCAGUCUCAGACUCUCCCUCUCUUUCUCAGAUUUGAAGCUCAGCAGCCACCCACCGUCUAGCAAUCUGACUCCGACGAACUAUCUCCACUCCGGCCACCACCACACCUCAUGGCUUCAUCCCCACCUCCGGUUCUCUCCAGUGAUUCUCUGUGUGUGUGGGAUUUCGAAUUGAGGUUCGGAUGAUUUCAAUAUUAAUCUAAGAUGAUUUGGAUUCUGAUGAUGUUUGGUUUCGGGAAAUUCCGAAAUACCGAAAAUAUUUCGGGAAUCCCGAAAUUUGGGAAUCCGAAAUUUUGGUUCGGGAUCGGUUAUGAGAUUUACGUCCCGAAAAUUUUCGGUUCGGGAUUUGAUAUGUCAUUUUUGGUUCGGUAUCCCAUACCAAACCAGCCCUAAUAAAUAUCACUCAUGCCCAACUUGACAAGCGAAUCACCAAAACUUCUACUACAUACAGCAUGGGUAAGAACAUCUGCAAGCUGUUCAUCUGAAUUCACAAAUGGUAUCGACACAAUCUUCUUCUCCAACUUUUCUUUGAUAAAUUGUCUAUCAACUUCAACAUGCUUAGUCCUAUCAUGAUGUACCGGAUUCUCGGCUAUCUCUAUAGCAGACUUAUUAUCACAA